rnacentral:rRNA from 1 species
ACGGAAGGCAGCAGUGAGGAAUAUUGGUCAAUGGGCGAAAGCCUGAACCAGCCAAGUCGCGUGAAGGAUGAAGGUAUUAUGUAUUGUAAGCUUCUUUAGCAGCAGAGUAAUAAGGGGGUCGUGACCCCCGAUGCAAGUAUGCUGAAAAUAAGGAUCGGCUAACUCCGUGCCAGCAGCCGCGGUAAUACGGAGGAUCCGAGCGUUAUCCGGAUUUAUUGGGUUUAAAGGGUGCGCAGGCGGUUUUUUAAGUCAGUGGUUAAAUCGUGAGGCUCAACCUCAUCACGCCAUUGAUACUGGAAGACUUGAUUGCGGUUGAGGUUGGCGGAAUUCGUCGUGUAGCGGUGAAAUGCAUAGAUAUGACGAAGAACACCGAUUGCGUAGGCAGCUGACCAAGCCGUAAAUGACGCUCAUGCACGAAAGUGCGGGGAUCGAACAGGAUUAGAUACCCUGGUA